rnacentral:ncRNA from 2 species
GCUAGCGUCCGCCCCGCCAGUCGUACUCACGUUUGUCGUGGGUCAGGGAACCCGGUGAGAGUCCGGGACUGACGCGCAGCGGUGAGGGUGACGGGCGGAGCACGAAGCCACUGGGCGACGGCAGCAGACACUCGGCUGACGGAGCCUGGGAAGGCGCUCCGUCCGGUGGAUCCCGAGUCCGAAGACCUGCUGGCCGUGGACCUCCGGG